UCCGGUUUGUCACCGGCAGUCUGGCGUGAGUCCCCAACUAAAUGAUGGCAACACGCCACAGGGGUUGCGCUCGUUGCGGGACUUAACCCAACAUCUCACGACACGAGCUGACGACAACCAUGCACCACCUGUGAACCGGCCCCAAAGGGGAAACCACAUCUCUGCAGCGGUCCGGUCCAUGUCAAGCCUUGGUAAGGUUCUUCGCGUUGCAUCGAAUUAAUCCGCAUGCUCCGCCGCUUGUGCGGGUCCCCGUCAAUUCCUUUGAGUUUUAACCUUGCGGCCGUACUUCCCAGGCGGUGUGCUUAACGCGUUAGCUGCGUCACCGAAGGGUGAACCCCCCAGCGACAAGCACACAUCGUUUACGGCGUGGACUAC
rnacentral:misc_RNA from 1 species